rnacentral:lncRNA from 1 species
AGCCAGUGGGUGGUUUCUGGCUGAGGAGCUCGCCAGUGGAACUUGGAGACCCUAGGCCCUCUUUCUCCAAGUCUCACCUUUCACUGAAGCGCCCCAAGCAACCCACCUUCCUGCCUUCCCUCCUGGCAGCAGCUAGCCUACCCGUCUGAUGACUCCAGCUGGUGCUGAUUCAGGGUUUCCAGACAAAGAAAAGGCUUGGAGGACCUCAAUCUACUGUGCCAACAGGACAUGAAUGACCAUAUACUCCUCCUCCCUUCUUUCCAGAGGAGUUCAAAUGGGAGCUGCCAUUUUCGAACAGAUCUGCCCCCUGAACAGGUGGGGCCAAUUAUAGAACCUUACUCUGCUGUCUUUGAUUGA